GACGAACGCUGGCGGCGUGCCUAAUACAUGCAAGUCGAACGCACAGUUUAUACCGUAGCUUGCUACACCAUAAACUGUGAGUUGCGAACGGGUGAGUAACGCGUAGGUAACCUGCCUGGUAGCGGGGGAUAACUAUUGGAAACGAUAGCUAAUACCGCAUAAUAUUGAUUAUUGCAUGAUAAUUGAUUGAAAGAUGCUAUUGCAUCACUACCAGAUGGACCUGCGUUGUAUUAGCUAGUAGGUGAGGUAACGGCUCACCUAGGCGACGAUACAUAGCCGACCUGGAAGGGGGAACGGCCACAGUGGGACUGAACAACGGCCCAGACUCCUACGGGAGGCACGAGUAGGGAAUUUUCGGCAAUGGCGGAAAGUUUGACCGGGCAACGCCGGGGGAGUGAAGAAGGUUUUCGGAUCGUAAAGCCCGUUUGUAAGAGAAGAACGGGUGUGGAAGUGGAAAGUCACCCCUGUGAGGGUAUUUAACAAAAAAGGGAGGGCAAAUUAGGG
rnacentral:rRNA from 1 species